UGGUCCUACGGGAGGCAGCAGUGAGGAAUAUUGGUCAAUGGCCGGAAGGCUGAACCAGCCAAGUCGCGUGAGGGACGACUGCCCUAUGGGUUGUAAACCUCUUUUAUAAGGGAAGAAUAAAUGCUACGUGUAGCAUGAUGCCUGUACCUUAUGAAUAAGCUCCGGCUAACUACGUGCCAGCAGCCGCGGUAAUACGUAGGGAGCAAGCGUUAUCCGGAAUUAUUGGGUGUAAAGGGUGAGUAGACGGGACAGCAAGUUAGUUG
rnacentral:rRNA from 1 species